rnacentral:rRNA from 1 species
AAACUCUUAACGGCCGCGGCACUAAAACCGUGCAAAGGUAGCACAAUCACUUGUCCCUUAAAUGAGGACCCGUAUGAAAGGCAACAUGAGAGAAGACCUGUCUCCUAAGGCCAGCCAAUGAAACUGAACUACCAGUACAAAAGCUGGUAUCUGCAAGCAAGACAAAAAGACCCUAUGGAACUUUAACAAAUUAUUUACAAAACAUAAAUUAUAGUUUCAGUUGGGACAACUUUAGAGAAAAUUAACCUCUUAAUAAUAUACUUAGACCAACAAGUCUAAACCGACUCGACCCAGUCACACUGAUUAACGAAACAAGCUACCCUAGGGAUAACAGCGCUACCUUCUCAAAGAGUCCAUAU